rnacentral:rRNA from 2 species
UCCUCUCAUACUGGAGGGGGUGGGGAUGACGUCAAAUCAUCAUGCCCCUUAUGACCUGGGCUACACACGUGCUACAAUGGAUGGUACAAAGGGCUGCGAGACCGCGAGGUUAAGCGAAUCCCAUAAAACCAUUCUCAGUUCGGAUUGCAGGCUGCAACUCGCCUGCAUGAAGCCGGAAUCGCUAGUAAUCGCGGAUCAGCAUGCCGCGGUGAAUACGUUCCCGGGCCUUGUACACACCGCCCGUCACACCACGAGAGUUUGUAACACCCGAAGUCGGUGGGGUAACCUUUUGGAGCCAGC